rnacentral:lncRNA from 13 species
GAUAGUUAAUACUGAGUGUCAAGUUGACUUGAUUGAAGGAUACAAAGUGUUGGCCGGGCACAGUGGUUCACGCCUGUAAUCCCAGCACUUUGGGAGGCGGAAGCGGGUGGAUCCCGAGGUCAAGAGAUCGAGACCAUCCUGGUCAACAAGGUGAAACCCCGUCUCUACUAAAAAUACAAAAAAAUUAGCUGGGCAUGGUGGCGUGCACCUGUAAUCCCAGAUACUUGGGAGGCAGGAGAACUGCUUGAACCCAGGAGGCGGAGGUUGCAGUGAGCCGAGAUCGUACCAUUGCACUCCAGCCUGGGUAACAAGAACGAAACUCCAUCUCAAUGAAAAAAAAACAAAAAAACAAGGUAUUGAUCCUGGAUGUGUCUGUGAGGGUGUUGCCAAAGGAGAUUACCAUUUGAGUUAGUGGGCUGAGAAAGGCAGACCCACCCUUAAUCUGAGUGAGCACCAUCUAAUCAGCUACCAGAGUAGCUAGAAUAUAAUAAGCAGGUGGAAAAAUGUGAAAAGAGAGACUGGCCUAGUGUCUCAACCUACAUCUUUCUUCCAUGCUAGAUGCUUCAUGCCCUUGAACAUCAGACUCCAAGUUCUUCAGUUUUGGAACUCAGACUGGUUCUUGCUCCUCAGCGUGUAGACAACCUAUUGUGGGACCUUGUGAUCAUGCCUCAUAGGAUGUGCUUCCCUGUGAAGAGGAUGUUCUGAUAAAGAGGAGCCAGACCCAAGUCUGACAACCCUGGAUGGUACACCAUUUGGUCUUCUAGAGAAUGAAUACCCUCUAAUUGAGCCUCAAAUCUUGCCAAGGUAUGUAUACUUCCCUUUGCCAUUUAUAAUCAAACUCUAUGAAUAGAUAUUGAUGACCAUGUCACCUUAAAAGGAUCAGGACCACAGAAGUAUAGUAAGCCCCACUCAGUACAUUGGAAGGUGGUGGAAGAAUCAGGUUACAGCUGUUUAUAAGAAUAUGUUUGAUUUACUUAGGAAGAAAGGAU